UACGAAGGGGGCGAGCGUUGUUCGGAAUUACUGGGCGUAAAGGGCGCGUAGGCGGCCGAUCAAGUCAGAUGUGAAAGUCCUGGGCUUAACCUGGGGACUGCAUUUGAUACUGAUUGGCUUGAAUUCGGGAGAGGAUAGCGGAAUUCCCAGUGUAGAGGUGAAAUUCGUAGAUAUUCGCAAGAACACCAGUGGCGAAGACGGCUCACUGGCCCGGUACUGACGCUGAGGUGCGAAAGCGUGGGGAGCAAACAGG
rnacentral:rRNA from 1 species